CGGGAACGUCGUGGCGCACGGAGGUAGAUUUGUGCGUUGCAUAAUAUCUGUACAUGCGGGAACGUCGAGUCGUGUCGUACAGAACACACGGAAGUAUAUAGAGAUCACGCGCUCCGGAAAUAUCUGUACAGGUAAUGACAAUUACUGAGGAUGUGUGGGUGAAAUAUAAUUGUGCAACGCGUGCGACGAAUGACUUGGAGAUCUGACUACAAACAUAUCAAACUGUACAUUAUUCAUGCCAACCAUUUAUUGUACAAAUCAAUGAAUCUUGAGAGGAGGAGGAGGUCUGAAAGAGACAUCGGGCAGAGCAACUAUAGGGUGCGAGGAUAUUGAUCACAGCGUAGCUUUGAUGCGUCGUAUACAUCUGCUGUUGUGCGUCGAUCGAUGAGUUAUAUAAAUUAUUAUUUUAUAUUAGAAGAUAACGGUGUAUUGUAGAUUAGAUAAUGUAGAUAUAGAUGUAUAUUGUAGAUUGUAGAUUGUUAGUUUCCGUUAUCUCAAAUUGGAUGGAUUACAAAAUGGAUAGAUUAAGAAUAUUUCCGUUU